GGGAACUGACCUACCUUCUUGUCUGGGAACGGUAUCACAGCAGCAUCCUCAAUCUCAGGAUGAGUAAGCAGCAGGGCUUCCAGCUCAGCCGGAGCCACCUGGUAUCCUUUGUACUUGAUGAGCUCCUUGAGUCGGUCCACAACGAAGAGGUAUCCUUCAUCGUCAAUGUAGCAUAGAUCCCCUGUCCUCAGCCAUCCGUCUUUCAUCAGAGUCGAUCUUGUAGCCUCCUCGUUGUUAAAAUAACCUUUCAUGACAUAAGGCCCACGGAUCCACAACUCCCCCGUCUUGUUCACCGGCAGCGCCGCCCCACUCUCCGUAUCAACAAUCCUCGCCUCGGUGUUCGGUGACAACAACCCCGCCGUCCCAUACCGCCG
rnacentral:misc_RNA from 1 species